AGGGUCAGAACAGGGAUAGGAAAACCAGUUGGGUGGACACUAAGACCCAGUGGUGCCCCAAAUUUUCAGGUGCCCUACCCAGUUGCCUAUGCCUGAGGAUGGCCCUGGGCGCUCCCAACCACUUGCAGCCCUAGGCGACUGCCUAGUUCGCCUAGUGGUUGCACCGGCCUUGAGUGCACCAGAUGCAACAAGAAACUGCCAGACUUAAGCUCCAAGUCAAAAAAGCAAUGGAAGAACAGCAGAAACUUUAUCAUCUUGAAAGUCCAGUUUAUAACAAUGUUGAUCGCCCCCUCACGAACCGGCAGCUGGUGAUCACCACCCUGAUCAUUAUCGCCAUCAAAUUGCUCCUGAUGAUCCUGGUCGUCUUCUCCCUCCUCUACCUUUCACAGGUCGCCCCUUCUCCCACCACGCCAGGAGACCCUGGCCCCACAACCCAGGGGAGCAGAGCAAG